CCUACGGGCGGCAGCAGUGAGGAAUAUUGGUCAAUGGCCGGAAGGCUGAACCAGCCAUGCCGCGUGAAGGUCAGUGCCCUAUGGGCGUUAAACUUCUUUUGUGCGGGAGCAAUAAUGGUCACGUGUGGCCAGACGAGAGUACCGUACGAAUAAGCACCGGCUAACUACGUGCCAGCAGCCGCGGUAAUACGGGGGAUGCAAGCGUUAGCCGGAUUUAUGGGGUCUAAAGGGUGCGUAGGCUGUGAGGUAAGUCAGCGGUGAAAUGCCCCCGGUCAACGGGGUGAAGUGCCAUUGAUACUGCCUGGCUGGAAUGCGGAUGCGGUAGGAGGAAUGUGUGGUGUAGCGGUGAAAUGCAUAGAUAUCACACAGAACACCGAUUGCGAAGGCGUCUCACGAAUACGCGAUUGACGCUGAUGCACGAAAGCGUGGGUAUCAAACAGGAUUAGAUACCCCAGUAGUC
rnacentral:rRNA from 1 species